rnacentral:rRNA from 1 species
GUGGGGAAUUUUGGACAAUGGGGGCAACCCUGAUCCAGCCAUGCCGCGUGAGUGAAGAAGGCCUUCGGGUUGUAAAGCUCUUUCGGACAGAAAGAAAUCGUGCGGGCCAAUACCCUGCAUGGAUGACGGUACUGUAAGAAGAAGCACCGGCUAACUACGUGCCAGCAGCCGCGGUAAUACGUAGGGUGCGAGCGUUAAUCGGAAUUACUGGGCGUAAAGCGUGCGCAGGCGGUUUCGUAAGACAGAUGUGAAAUCCCCGGGCUUAACCUGGGAACUGCAUUUGUGACUGCGAGGCUAGAGUACGGCAGAGGGGGGUAGAAUUCCACGUGUAGCAGUGAAAUGCGUAGAUAUGUGGAGGAAUACCGAUGGCGAAGGCAGCCCCCUGGGUCGAUACUGACGCUCAUGCACGAAAGCGUGGGGAGCAAACAGGAUUAGAAACCCGGGUAGUCC